rnacentral:rRNA from 1 species
GGCCUAUGGGGCGCAGCAGGCGAGAAACCUUUGCAAUGUGCGAAAGCACGACAAGGUUAAUCCGAGUGUCUUCUGCUAAAGAAGUCUUUUGUUAGUCAUAGAACCACUGAUGAAUAAGGGGUGGGCAAGUUCUGGUGUCAGCCGCCGCGGUAAAACCAGCACCUCGAGUGGUCAGGAGGUUUAUUGGGCCUAAAGCAUCYGUAGCCGGUUGUUUAAGUUUUCGGUUAAAUCUAUGCGCUUAACGUAUAGGCUGCCGAAAAUACUGGACAGCUAGGGAGUGGGAGAGGUACACGGUACUCAAUAGGAAGGGGUAAAAUCCUUUGAUCUGUUGAUGACCACCUGUGGCGAAGGCGGUGUACCAGAACACGUUUGACGGUGAGGGAUGAAAGCUGGGGGAGCAAACCGGAUUAGAUACCCGGGUAGUCCCAGCUGUAAACGAUGCAAACUCGGUGAUGCAUUGGCUUGUGGCCAAUGCAGUGCCGCAGGGAAGCCGUUAAGUUUGCCGCCUGGGAAGUACGUACGCAAGUAUGAAACUUAAAGGAAU